rnacentral:lncRNA from 1 species
UCAACCCAUACCACACACUCUGAUAUUCCCUCAUCUUUAUCUUAUCUUCAAGAUAGAAAGUUUUAGCAAUGUUCACUUCUUUUUGGCCAUUUUCCCCUCAGUUCUGUAACGUAGCAUUUUACUAUAUAAUAUUAAUGUCUAAUUAAAAAAAAUACAGAAUGAUAUUGCAUUUUAAAAUUAUAAGUAAAAUCACGCAUAUAAGUGGCUUUUUAUAUAAAAAGCUCAUUUCACAAAUAUGUUAGGACUUAAUUGUGAAAUUGGUUUUGAUUAUAAGGUUGAUCACAAUGCAGUAAGGUUCACAUAAUCUGUAGAUAAUGAAGACUACAUACACAAAUUUUAAACCAGGAACACUGCUCCUCCCAGUAAUGCUACCAUGGCCAGGCUACUAGUUCCAUGCUUGAAACCCGCGAAGCCUUGGCUAGACGAGGAAGGGGUGUAGCGCGGGAUUCCACUGGUGGAGCUACCUCUCGAUCCCCUCAGGGACAUGGAAGGUGCUGGUGCUGGUUCUGAAACCAGGGGACCAGGGCCCUUGGCCGGAGAAGUCAUUGUGCUGGAGUGCAACACUGCCGGAGCUUGGCCAGAGGAUAAGACAACAAACGUAUAUGAGAAGAUUAGCAUGAGCAUGACACGCGGGAGGGACAUGAUGCUCUCUAACUCUUGAUUCUUAAGGGUAUGAAGAUAAGAUGAGCUAGAGGCAUUAGAAUGCCUCAAAGAGUCAAGGUUGAUUUUAACAGAUGCAAGUAUUUCAUCUGAAUCUUAUCUCUCUUAAUGUGUGGUGCUGAGGCUUUCUCAUUCCAUGUGCUUAUAACUAUGGUGCCCACAAGACUUCCAUAGUUACUGCCCUUGCACAAAGUUACUUGGUUGUCACAGUGACAGCCAAGGAGAGUAGACUCCGAAGAGUCGUCUGAGUGAGCAGGACCAGUUGCGCAUAGUGGACCAAAAUUGAUUAACAAAGUAUGUCAUUCCAGAAAACAAGAUCAUACCCUCACCAAGACUCUCCAGCAGGAUCUUCUCGGGUCAGUCUGAUUCAAUCUAUUAACCGAGUAGUCCUCACUGUGCAUCAAUUGCUAAUAUAUUAAUGUCUCGUAUGCAAUUGAAGUUUCACAGGAUCUAAACAAGUGAAAUCUUAGUAAAGUGAUUCUAGCAUUGUGCUUGUUAGACGAUACGAGUACACAGACCAUUAGGCAAAGAUCUAACUAUGUGAAAUUCUGGCAAAGCGAUUCUACCAUUGUACUUGUUAAAUGAUACAAUAUCCAACCUAUUAGGCCAAAAAUUGGUCAGAUCCAACCACGUAGCAAGGAUAUUGUAUUCGCAGUACUGAACGACGGUAAGAGAGACACAACAAAUAGCUGAAAACAAUACCUCUAAAGCAAAAAUAUAUAGACUUUACAUAACUGUGUAAUUCCUGACUCAGUAACAAUUACGAGAUUAAACUGAAUAACAGUAUUCUUAUUGACCUAGUUUAAAAUGCUACAAGAGAGUUGUAACAUUAAAUAAAUCUUCAACAGACCACAUACUGACCUCCAAGAUAAAACACAAAGAUUAAAACUCCACGAGGACCAAAACAAAAGAGACACAAUAUAAUACACAAAAGUUUUAAACCAGAAGUACAGCUCCUCCCAAUAAUGCUAGCAUGGCUAGGCUACUUCCCUGCUUGAAAGCUGCUGACCCUGGGGUAGACUCCACGGGUGACAUACCCGUCAUGGUUGGGGUCGGAGCCAUUGCAGGUCCCAUUGGUGCUGGUGGUGAACUCAUCGAAUCAGGACUCAUGGCUGGAGUCAUCAUCAUCUCAGGUGGAGUAGCCAUUGGUGCUGGCAUCAUCAUCGGAGGAGGUGUCAUCAUCACUGGAGGUGGUGUCAUCAUCUCAGGUGGACUAGCUAUUGGUGCUGGCAUCAUCAUUGGAGGAGGUGUCAUCAUCAUUGGAGGUGGUGUCAUCAUCAUAGGAGGUGGAGUCACCAUUGGAGGUGGUGUCAUCAUCAUAGGUGGCAUGGUGGUGGAGGGUGACAUUGCCGGAGCUUGACCAGAGGAUAAGACAACGAACGUAAGUGAGAAGGUUAGCAUGAGCAUGGCAUGUGAAAAGGCCAUGACUCUCUCAGACUCUAAGAGUGUGAAGAUAAGAUGAAGGAAUGAGAGGAGGAUGUGAGGAAUAUAUGUAGCUGGGUCGUAAGAAUGCUUCGAGUCUGAUUUCAAUUUGUUUAUAUAAUGGCUGGAAGAGGGUAGUUUGGAGAAUUAUCAUCAGGUUGUCUUCGUUGAGAAUGAGUGGAAUAGAAUGGAAUAGAGUGGAAGGCUUUAAGCAACAUUAAAGUUAUACAAUGUCAUUACAGUAUGAUAUUAUGUUUGCUAAACAGUCUGAUAACUGAUCUUAUCUAUUUAAAUACAAGAAGAAUUACCAGUCACUGGCCUACAGAGUCACUGAUAGAUAUUAGAUAGCAUGGAAUUUACAUGCAUAAAAGCAUGAUGUGUCACAUGAAUAAGUUCUUGAUAUAAAAGUGAAAUGCUGAAUGAAUAAAAGAUAUUCAAUAAUGAGUGUACCAUUUUUUCCGUUAGAAAACAGAAGAUAUAACUGGCAACAGCACCACAUGAGAAAGACUGCCAACUGGCAAUACAUAUAGACCUCUAGAACUACGAAGGGAAUAAGGAGGAUAUCAUCUCUCUCUAUCUCUCUCUAAUGGGUGAUGGUAAUGUUUCUCCUCUCCAUGUGCUACGAAAAUUAACUGGUACCAAUCAGGGUCCUUAAUAAGAUUCGGGAGCUUUAUAAUGAUAAUUAUAUAUGUAAAUAAUUUAUCAUUUUACGGUUAUAUUUUCUAGACACAUUAUCCUCACCUUUUUAUUUUUCUACAACAAAGACAGAAUGACAGGACAACAGGAUACUAAAGUAAAACAGAGGUCCUGUACAUUCAUGUACCUCGUUUGCUCCAUGCCUAUGCUUGUAAUGCUACUAUAGUCGCUACUACUCUAGACAUUUACUUGGUUGAUAUAAUGACAGCUAAUUGAGGAAAGAAGCAUUUGUCAAUGUUUCCAAGUGACCAUAGACCUCUUUUACUUGGUGAAUGAAUAUAUAUGAAUAAUUUAGAGGAUUAUUAGCAAAGUAAUUGGUAGUUUAGAAUCACCAACUGCUCAUACUUACACUUCACCUUGUGAGCUAUUUGAAUAUCAUCAGAUCUAAUUAAGUGGAUUGUUAAGCAUCGAUUCUUGGACAAUUUAAAUGUGCAAAUACUGUCGAAAUUAAACAUGUGAUUGAGCAGAAUAAACUCUAUAUGUCCCAUAUCAAAUAAAUAAUAUACACAUAUUUCAUAACAAGAUAACAAUGUGGACGCGUGCUCCAACCCGAUAAACAUCACUAAGCAUGCGUGUCUUAGAAAGAAUAAAAAAUCUCAUUACCAUAGUCUGUAUGUAACUAUGUAGCACCUCGCAUACGCAAAAAGUUGUUUGGCUGUAAUAGGCCAUAUCAUACAUAAUCACUUCUGCUCACCUAGAAGCGGUUGAUUUACAUCAGCUGCAAAAUGAAAAUAUUCUUUAAGUGAUUUAAGCAUUGUACACAAUACAAAUACCUAAACCAUUAUGCAAAAACUAAAUUUCAGCCACAUAGUAAGGGCAAUACAUUUGGCAAACUGGAUUAACGAGAUAAUACUUGCAAAAAGCCCAAUAAGAAAGGGACGCAAUAGCUUAAAACUGAAGUAUAAACAGAUAUAUGACAGGAAACAAAACUAUCAAACAGAUAUAUCACUGUACAUAACAGGGUACUUCCUAAUCUGAAUCUGACUUCAAGGAUUUCCAGCGGAACAUUAAAAAUAAAAUGUUCUUAUAUAUAUCAACCCAAGUUACCAUGCAUUAAACACAAAUCCUCCGCACAAGAAUGUCCAAAAAAAAAAAGUUGACCAUUAACUUAACUGAAUCCUUUGACCUCUGAAAUUAUUAUCUAUACAAAUGCUGAAAGAAAUGCCGGACAAGAGGGGGAUUGGAUUUAGUGAGGAUUAUAAAUUAUAAUAGAUAUAGAAAUUGAUGAUGUAAAAAUGCCAAUGGACUAGUGUGUGCUAAAGGGUUUAUAUUCUGGACAACAGAUGAUUUAAGAUUUCAAUCGGCAAAAAAACGAACAAUUAUGUUUCACUGUGAUGAAGUGAAACUUUGUGACACACUAGUACCAAAAGGGAAGUAUAUAAGAAACAUGUCAAACAUCAAAUUGCAUCCACAGAGUUUCAUAAAUAUAUUGAAAACAAUAUUUUCAGCUUUAGGGUGUACACGAGGCAGCAUAGACACAUAAUUCUGAAAGUGCUUGCAAACACAAACAUAGAGAACAAAAGAAAUGCAAAAUAUGAUAUAUGAGAUAAGAUAUACUACCUCCAGGACUAUGUUGCCCGAAAACCGCAGGCUUGUUUUUUCUUUCUGCAUAUUCAGCUAUGACCAAACGAGAUAAGAGUAGACCCGCAAUAAGAGCACCCAGACUCAACAUCCCAAAAACAAAAUUCCAUCCUUUCGUUGACAGAAACCCCGUAAGAAGUGGACCUAAAGCAGCACCAAGUGAUCCCGUACCGUCGAUGAUUGCUGUCACUGUUGCCAGAGCUCGAGAAUUACCCAUAACAGAGCUAUGUGUACCAAGAUCUGCAGAGACUGCAGUUGUUAUAAGUGCAUAUGGCCCAUUCACAAAUAAACCCGCAAUUAUCAUGAGCACAAUGUUUAUCGUCUGAGAGAUGUUCCCAUAUUUGCGGUACAGUAUCAUUGCAGGAAUGGCUGCAUACAUAAAGGUGGCUGCUGUUGUGGCCCGUGCCUUCAAUUUAUCAGAUAUGUAACCAGCUAGAAUCCCACCAACAAUCCCUCCUACAUCAAACAAUGUAGAAAGAUUUCCAGCAGAUCUCACUGACAUAUACUCACCACCAAUAGCUGCAAACUCAUUCAAAAAGACGAUAUAAGAGAUGUAAACCCCAACACUCCAAAUAUCUAAAAUUAGUUAUCACAAGAACAGGAAUAUCAGAGAGUUCCCAGGUAUGUAAUAGGAAAACAGGUUCUAUAAAUACAAUCCGAACUAAAUAGACAACACUGACCAAUUUAUGAGUUCAGAGCCCAUAUUCAUAAAAAUUACGGAGUUACUAUCUAUGUCAACUUAUGUACUUGGGCAGGGGUAUCUAGAAAUAAUUCUUUACAAGUUGUUGCCUUAUCUUAGUAUAAUAACCUUUACCUUUGUUUUUCCUUCUGAUAUAACAAUUUUAUUAAAAAUAGGUAAGGUCGUCACUGAGGUUUUAGACACUUUUUUUUUUUGAGAGAGAGAAGGUUUUAGACACUUUAACAUAGAAUAAAACUUUGAUUAUUUGUUCAUUAAAUGGUGGAAUUGGUUUCUGGGUAUCCUUAGGGUUAUCUAUGAUGUCGUUUAAGAAGUUAAGUACUUAGGGGUAAGGACUGUACCAAUUUUUUCAAAUGCGGAACAGAUUUGGCUGGAAAAAAGAACAUUUCAGGGAAUAUUCAGGCGUAGUAUGAAAUUGUUGAAUUAGAACAGAGGAAAUGGAUCAACCGGCGCCCUUUCUUAUCCCGUAAGGUCAGCUCCCAGCUUUUACUCACAUUUUUUCCUCCUUUCUUAAUAAAAAUAUUCUCAAUGCAUACAAGUGGGGUUGGCGUGUUUUAAUAUUUGUAUCAGUUCACACAGGUGUGCGUGCUUGCAGAUACAUAUGAGCCAUGUGUGUGGUUAGGGGACUUGACCCUGCUCGCAUGAAGGCGCCACCAUAUAAAAUAAAG